UACGGGGGGAGCGAACGUUGUUCGGAAUCACUGGGCGUAAAGGGCGUGUAGGCGGCUGAAUAAGUGGGAUGUUAAAUCCCCCGGCUCAACCGGGGACCUGCAUCUCAUACUGUUCAGCUCGAGCACAUCAGAGGAGACUGGAAUUCCCGGUGUAGCGGUGAAAUGCGUAGAUAUCGGAAGGAACAUCAGUGGCGAAAGCGACUCUCUGGUCGGAUCCUGACGCUGAGGUGCGAAAGCUAGGGGAGCAAACGGG
rnacentral:rRNA from 1 species